UUGUGCCCAGAGUUUGAUUUUCCACAGACCAGGUAGAGGCCAAGAGCCUCUCACAGACUCUGCAGCAGGGUUGCUAUGAUUAACUCUUAAGUACUCCACAACUACACGCUUUUGAAACUGGCGUUGGCAUAGCGUUAGUUCUGUGCAGGGCGGACGCAGCAGGACAGAAUCUCCCUGGGCAUCUUUUCGGAGCAUCAAUUUUACUGCAAAAUUUUGAAAAAACAAAUUUAAUUGAUUUCCAAGGAGCUUCUGUCACUGCAGAACCAGGGUCACCUGUGGAAAAUCCUUGCUGAAGCCAUCUCCCUGUCUGCCUGUCCCUCAGGCCCAGGAGUCAUGAGUCCUUUCUCCAAUAAGUCAUUCAGUUGGCUGGCAGCAAACCCUGGUUUGUCAAGGAGGACAGAAACUCAGAGCACCCUGCACUUGGGGAUCGGCACUAGGAGCUGCUCUCUGGAUGGGGAGAUGGGAGCUAGCAGCUCACAAUGGGGUCACAAGAAUAUUGGUUCUUCUUUUAUCUGAAGUGAGGAGCACCAGAGGACUGAUCACGGCAUAGACAUUGACUACAAGACUCUGAACUUGCUG
rnacentral:lncRNA from 1 species